AAUAAAAAUCGAGAGUUCAAAGAUUGACGAUUCAAAUCAAUAAAUGGUUGGAUAUCCGAAAAUCGCGAGCACACACUCCCUAAAAGCUUUUUGCUCGUCCCUUUUCCAAGUGAUGCCACUCCUCUUAUUGAGCAUACGCUAUAAAAUAUUAUUUUGUGAUAUAGUGCAAAGUUGUAUAAUGCAUGCAUUGGACUAAUAAAAGCUUAUUGAAAUAAUUACGUACAGUUUUUUUAGUUAUCUACACCUCGUGAUGCAGAUUACCAAUUCUUAAACCAAUACAUAAGAAAUAUUUAUUGAGGGAAUGGAUGUUAUAAAGGAAUAUGUGUGUAAAUGAUUGUAGGAGGUUGAUGAUGAUUAGCAUGAUUGUAGAAACUUAUAUAUAGUGGUUUGCAAAGUUUAUGUCAAUUUCAGUGCUCAAGUGUUGUGGUACAAUUUUUGCAUGCAUGUAUAGAAUAAUCGAGACUAUGGUCCGAAAAUGAUGAUUCAAAAAUGAAAUAGGAAUGUUAUGUGUGCUAAUUCACCCGAUAUCUGAAAGAUACAUAUGAAUUACUAGUGUCACAAAAAUUACUUAAAAAAAUUAUUAGUGUUUUUAAAAUACAUUAACCAUAAACAAUUGUAAUC
rnacentral:lncRNA from 1 species